GACGAACGCUGGCGGCGUGCUUAACACAUGCAAGUCGAACGGAAAGGCCCUGCUUUUGUGGGGUGCUCGAGUGGCGAACGGGUGAGUAACACGUGAGUAACCUGCCCUUGACUUUGGGAUAACUUCAGGAAACUGGGGCUAAUACCGGAUAGGAGCUCCUGCUGCAUGGUGGGGGUUGGAAAGUUUCGGCGGUUGGGGAUGGACUCGCGGCUUAUCAGCUUGUUGGUGGGGUAGUGGCUUACCAAGGCUUUGACGGGUAGCCGGCCUGAGAGGGUGACCGGCCACAUUGGGACUGAGAUACGGCCCAGACUGCUACGGGAGGCAGCAGUGGGGAAUAUUGCACAAUGGGCGGAAGCCUGAGGCAGCAACGCCGCGUGCGGGAUGACGGCCUUCGGGUUGUAAACCGCUUUCGCCUGUGACGAAGCGUGAGUGACGGUAAUGGGUAAAGAAGCACCGGCUAACUACGUG
rnacentral:rRNA from 1 species